UCAAACAAUUCUCCUGCCUCAGCCUCCCAAGUAGCUGGGAUUACAGUUGUCCCCUGUAGUGCUGGAGUGGGGAGUCAAGGAGUUGGCUUUCUGGUUUCUAGGUUAAAGUUUAGCUGUGGACAGUAUUAUUUCAGUGAUUCAAUGAGGGUAUGUAGGACCAUUUACUUUAAAGCAUGAGAUACAUUGCUGUACCUUGCAUCUCUGACACAAACAAAGAGACACAAGCUUUGUGUGCCUCACAUUUGGAAUAAAAACCACAUUUGAAAAUCUGCUUUGAUUCAUUUGCUGGUUUACCAACAAGGCUCAGCACUGAAACCAAAAAAAAAGACUCAGCUUUAAUUCUGAGCUAAUGUUCAUAUUGCCAGUCACUUGUGCUUUAUGGUCUAGUAGAUCCAAUGGUAUUGGAAGUAUUGUGAUAAACAGAGAAGUUGCAUAGAACUUCUGGAGAGCCAUCACAAAAGGAUAACAGCACAGAUUUUUAAGGUUCUGAAAUAAAGCCAUAUCUUCUCCCAAUAACUAUUCUCUAUUUGAAAUGCAGCCCUGCCUUGUUAUUGGGAGUUUGUAGAAUGAACACCUGUUCAUGGGACACCACAACUAUACAACUUGUAUUGUACAUCAUGAAUUAUUGUGAGUGAUCUGAUCCACUGAACCAUAAAAUUGGAUGUGCAUAGCAGCAUUCCAUUGUGAAGUGAAAAUGGUAUAUAUUAUGCUUGGCCACAUAGGUUUUGAAAGGCACAAAUAAACUGUAUGAACAGAUGGCUCAGAGUCCCGUGGUACUUGCUCCUGCUGCUUCACUGCCUCUCCCUCAGCUACUCAUAUGACCUCACGGGGAGUUUCCCAUGAUCAGUUAAUGGAGUAACAAAAAAUUUGAGGCUGGUUUACUGUUAGAUUUCCAAGAUAUACUGGUACUGGCUGGAAGGAGACUGCUACUGCAUACGUCUGUGCUCCAUAAAAACCCUUGAACACCGCGGUAAAGAAAAAACCUUUUGAUAGUUCACUUCCUAGGGAAGGAGAGAUGGCCUGAUUAAUGCAUCUACAGUGAUUGAUUAGGGGCAGCUAAUGAAUUGGCUGCUAUCUAAGUUUCCGGUCAUAUUGGGAAAAAAAGAGAAGAAUAUUCUCCAAGGAUUUCUUGGAAAUAGGAAUAGAACUAUAGCUUUUAGAAUGGACAGAGUGUGAAGAUAUUUAUAUCUUAUGUAAAUUCCCACUAGGAAAAAAUCCACUUUGGUACAGAGUAUCAGUAAUCUGGUAGACAAGAUGAGCCAUCCUGUGGGUAACAGUAUAUAUUUUCCCCUAGUCGUAUUGCUUUUUUUAAUUUUAGUUUUUAAUUUUUGUGGGUGCAUAGUAGGUAUGUAUACUUACAGGGUACCUGAGAUGCUUUGAUACAGGCAUGUAAUGUGAAAUAAGCACAUCACAGAGAAUGGACUAUCUAUCCCUUCAAACAUUUAUUCAUUCAGUUAUCAACAA